GUGUGUGUGUGUGUGUGUGAGUUUACUGUAUACUUACUGUAAAUUCCUAAAAGGACCAAACAUACCAAUAGUAAAUUAUACAGUAAGUAUACAGUAAACUUACACAAGCUCACUG